CCAAUCACCACAACUAUUACCUCAAAAACCAUUUUAGAUACAAGCAACCGGCCAUUUUUUCAGCCUCAUCAUUUGAUUCAAAGCAGCUGGAAACACCCAGUUUUGUAAAUAGCUUGAGAUUGUCUUCGUCCAUAAAAAAGGUAAUAGCUUUUCCCCACCUAGUUAGUCCACAGCCAAACUCUUAUAAAACAAGAGUUGUGUAGUUUAGCAAGCUCAGAAACAAUCCAAUAGCACGUUGGUUUUCGAUUUUCCAGAUCAAAACAAAAAGAAAAAUAUACAUAAACAGAGAGGGAAAGGACAGAACCUUAAGAUCGAUGUUGGUACGGGUAAAAAGGAAGGGAUUAAAUUCGGGAUCUUGCUGAAUGUUUUUCCACUUGCCAGUGCCGUGUUUGGCUACUCCUGCUCUUAGCGCUUCUUCUUCCUCCGAAGUCCAUUUCUGUUUCCGAUUUCCCAUCCCUCUCUGCAACCUUCAAUCUUUCCGACCUAUCAGCGAGGUUUGUACAUGGCAACUUUCUUCACUCUCUGCCACCCAACGGAAACCGUUUAAUGUGUCAGCCCUAAGUUUUUGCAAUUUAAGCCAAAAACGACGUCGUUUGCUCUAAUGCAGACGACCAAAACGAGGUCGUUGUACUUUCCUAGACUACUAG
rnacentral:misc_RNA from 1 species